rnacentral:tRNA from 1 species
GCGGGAGUAGUUCAGUGGUAGAGCGUCUGCUUCCCAAGCAGAAUGUCGCGGGUUCGAGUCCCGUCUCCCGCU